CAAAACGGAGGAAGGUGGGGAUGACGUCAAAUCAUCAUGCCCCUUAUGUUCUGGGCUACACACGUGUUACAAUGGCCGAUACAACGGGCAGCCACCUGGUGACAGGGAGCUAAUCCUAAAAGUCGGUCUCAGUUCGGAUCGAAGUCUGCAACCCGACUUCGUGAAGCUGGAUUCGCUAGUAAUCGCAGAUCAGCCAUGCUGCGGUGAAUACGUUCCCGGGCCUU
rnacentral:rRNA from 1 species